rnacentral:snRNA from 1 species
GGAUGUGAGGGUGAUCGAAUUGUGACAUCUGUCACUUGCACUGAUCACCAGGGUUGAUCUGGCUGAUCUGGCUGGGUUGGCAGGUGUCCCCUUCCUCCCUCACUGUUCCAUGUGCAUCCCUCCUGGAAGCUGUUGUGCUCCAUGAAGGAGAAUGAUUCGUGGAUAGAGGAGGACCAUUCUCUGGUCAAGGGUAUAGGAGUAGUUGUGCUCCCUCUUGGAACCUCCAAACAAGCUCUCAAGGUCCAUUUGUAGGAGAACGUAGGGUAGUCAAUCUUCCAAGACUCCAGACACAUCCAAAUGAGGCCCUGUAUGUGGCAGUCUAAA